rnacentral:rRNA from 1 species
UACAUGGGGUGCAAACGUUGCUCGGAAUCAUUGGGCGUAAAGCGCGCGUAGGCGGUUACCUAAGUUGGAUGUGAAAGCCCUCGGCUUAACUGAGGAAGUGCAUCCAAAACUGAGUAGCUAGAGUACGAAAGAGGGUCGCGGAAUUCCCGGUGUAGAGGUGGAAUUCGUAGAUAUUGGGAGGAACACCAGUGGCGAAGGCGGCUACCUGGACCGGUUCUGACGCUGAGGCGCGAAAGCGUGGGUAGCAAACAGG